UACGUAGGGUGCGAGCGUUAAUCGGAAUUACUGGGCGUAAAGCGUGCGCAGGCGGUUUUGUAAGCCAGAUGUGAAAUCCCCGGGCUCAACCUGGGAAUGGCAUUUGGGACUGCAAGGCUUGAGUGCAGCAGAGGAGACUGGAAUUCCUGGUGUAGCAGUGAAAUGCGUAGAUAUCAGGAGGAAUACCGAUGGCGAAGGCAGGUCUCUGGGCUGACACUGACGCUCAUGCACGAAAGCGUGGGGAGCAAACAGG
rnacentral:rRNA from 1 species